rnacentral:rRNA from 1 species
UGAAACACGGACCAAGGAGUCUAACAUGUUCGCAAGUCAUUGGGUUGUAAAACCCAAAGGCAUAAUGAAAGUGAAGAUCAGUUCUGCUGGUCGAGGUGGGAUCUCUCUUCAAGGGAGCGCACCACCGUCCCAUCGCAUUUGCUCGUCAAAGCGGUGGAGAAAGAGCGUACAUGUUGGGACCCGAAAGAUGGUGAACUAUGCCUGAGCAGGAUGAAGCCAGAGGAAACUCUGGUGGAGGUCCGUAGCGGUUCUGACGUGCAAAUCGAUCGUCAGACUUGGGUAUAGGGGCGAAAGACUAAUCGAACCAUCUAGUAGCUGGUUCCCUCCGAAGUUUCCCUCAGGAUAGCUGGCACUUAAACGCAGUUUUACCCGGUAAAGCGAAUGAUUAGAGGCCUUGGGGACGAAACGACCUCAACCUAUUCUCAAACUUUAAAUGGGUAAGAAGUCUCGCUUGCCUGACCGAAGCUCAGACAUUGAAUGCGAGUGCCAAGUGGGCCAUUUUUGGUAAGCAG